rnacentral:tRNA from 1 species
UAGAAGAAUGGGUCUUGAACCCACACAACAAAGCUCAAAACUUUGCGUACUACCCAAUUAUACUAUCCCCU